AUUGAACGCUGGCGGCAGGCCUAACACAUGCAAGUCGAGCGAGCGGCGGACGGGUGAGUAAUGUAUGGGGAUCUGCCCGAUGGAGGGGGAUAACUACUGGAAACGGUGGCUAAUACCGCAUACUAUCGGUUGAACCCAUAUGGGAUUAGCUAGUAGUUGGGGUAAGGGCUCACCUAGCCGACGAUCUCUAGCUGCUCUGCGAGGAUGUCCAGCCACACUGGGACUGAGACACGGCCCAGACUCCUACGGGAGGCAGCAGUGGGGAAUGUUGAGCAAUGGGGGCAGCCCUGACGCAGACAUGCCGCGUAAAUGAAGAAGGCCUUCGGGUUGUAAGGUUCUUUCGGUAGGGAGGCGUUAACUACAGAAGAAGCACCGGCUAACUCCGUGCCAGCAGCCGCGGUAAUAC
rnacentral:rRNA from 1 species